GACGAACGCUGGCGGCGCGCUUAACACAUGCAAGUCGAACGGAAAGGCCUGCUUUCCCUUGUGGUUUGCGGGUACUCGAGUGGCGAACGGGUGAGUAACACGUGAGUGAUCUUCCCCCAACUUGGGUAUAAGCCUGGGAUACUGGGUCUAAUUCCCGAUAGGACUGCAGGGUGGUGCCUGUGGUGGAAACCGGUUUUCUAGUGGUUGGGGAUGAGCUCGCGGCCUAUCAGCUUGUUGGUGGGGUAAUGGCCUACCAAGGCGGCGACGGGUAGCCGGCCUGAGAGAGUGGACGGGCACAUUGGGACUGAGAUACGGCCCAGAAUCCUACGGGAGGCAGCAGAGGGGAAUAUUGCGCAAUGGGCGGAAGCCAGAUGGAGCGAGGCCGCGUGGGGGAUGACGGCCUUCGGAUUGUAAACUCCUGGCGACCGAGAGGAAGCCACCUGGUUGGAACGGUGGUGACGGUAGUGGUAGAAGAAGCACCGGCUAACUACGUG
rnacentral:rRNA from 1 species